rnacentral:rRNA from 1 species
GAUGAACGCUGGCGGCGUGCCUAAUACAUGCAAGUCGAGCGAACAGACGAGGAGCUUGCUCCUCUGACGUUAGCGGCGGACGGGUGAGUAACACGUGGAUAACCUACCUAUAUGACUGGGAUAACUUCGGGAAACCGGAGCUAAUACCGGAUAAUAUAUUGAACCGCAUGGUUCAAUAGUGAAAGACGGUUUUGCUGUCACUUAUAGAUGGAUCCGCGCCGCAUUAGCUAGUUGGUAAGGUAACGGCUUACCAAGGCAACGAUGCGUAGCCGACCUGAGAGGGUGAUCGGCCACACUGGAACUGAGACACGGUCCAGACUCCUACGGGAGGCAGCAGUAGGGAAUCUUCCGCAAUGGGCGAAAGCCUGACGGAGCAACGCCGCGUGAGUGAUGAAGGUCUUCGGAUCGUAAAGCUCUGUUAUUAGGGAAGAACAAAUGUGUAAGUAACUAUGCACGUCUUGACGGUACCUAAUCAGAAAGCCACGGCUAACUACGUG